CAGGGGCAGCACAAGGAGCAAUCUGAGGUGGCGACGGCGCACGGGUGAGUAACACGUAUGCAACCUGCCUGUAAGCGGGGAAUAACCCGUUGAAAGACGGACUAAUACCGCAUAAUACUAAAUUACUGCAAUGGUAAUUUAUUUAAACAUUUAUGGCUUACAGAUGGGCAUGCGCAUGAUUAGCUAGUUGGAGAGGUAACGGCUCCCCAAGGCAACGAUCAUUAGGGGUUCUGAGAGGAAGGUCCCCACACUGGUACUGAGACACGGACCAGACUCCUACGGGAGGCAGGCAGUGAGGAAUAUUGGUCAAUGGACGAGAGUCUGAACCAGCCAAGUCGCGUGCAGGAAGAAUGUCCUAAUGGAUUGUAAACUGCUUUUGCAGGGGGAAUAAAGUGCAUCACGUUGUGAUGUUUUGUAUGUACUCUGCGAAUAAGGAAUCGGCUAACUCCGUGCCAGCAGCAGC
rnacentral:rRNA from 1 species